GAUGAACGCUAGCGGCAGGCUUAAUACAUGCAAGUCGAGGGGCAGCAGGGUGGUAGCAAUACCACUGCUGGCGACCGGCAAACGGGUGCGGAACACGUACGCAAUCUACCCAGAACUGGGGCAUAGCCCUCCGAAAGGAGGAUUAAUACCCCGUACUCUUUGGAGGUGGCAUCACCUCCUUAGAAAAGCUCCGGCGGUUUUGGAUGAGCGUGCGGCUGAUUAGGUAGUUGGCGGGGUAACGGCCCACCAAGCCUGCGAUCAGUAACUGGUGUGAGAGCACGACCAGUCACACGGGCACUGAGACACGGGCCCGACUCCUACGGGAGGCAGCAGUAAGGAAUAUUGGUCAAUGGCCGCAAGGCUGAACCAGCCAUGCCGCGUGAAGGAUGAAGGUCCUCUGGAUUGUAAACUUCUUUUACAGGGGAAGAAACCGCUUUUUUCCAAGAGCGUUGACGGUACCCUGGGAAUAAGCACCGGCUAACUCCGUGCCAGCAGCCGCUGUAAGAC
rnacentral:rRNA from 1 species